UACGUAGGGUGCGAGCGUUAAUCGGAAUUACUGGGCGUAAAGCGUGCGCAGGCGGUUCGUUGUGUCGGCGGUGAAAGCCCCGGGCUUAACCUGGGAAUGGCCGUCGAAACUGGCGAACUGGAGUGUGGCAGAGGGGGGUGGAAUUCCGCGUGUAGCAGUGAAAUGCGUAGGGAUGCGGAGGAACACCGAUGGCGAAGGCAGCCCCCUGGGCUGACACUGACGCUCAGGCACGAAAGCGUGGGGAGCAAACAGG
rnacentral:rRNA from 1 species